rnacentral:rRNA from 1 species
UGGAAGUAAAAGUCGUAACAAGGUCUCCGUUGGUGAACCAGCGGAGGGAUCAUUACCGAGUUUACAACUCCCAAACCCAAUGUGAACGUUACCAAACUGUUGCCUCGGCGGGAUCUCUGCCCCGGGUGCGUCGCAGCCCCGGACCAAGGCGCCCGCCGGAGGACCAACCAAAACUCUUUAUGUAUACCCCCUCGCGGGUUUUUUACAAUCUGAGCCAUCUCGGCGCCCCUCGUGGGCGUUUCGAAAAUGAAUCAAAACUUUCAACAACGGAUCUCUUGGUUCUGGCAUCGAUGAAGAACGCAGCGAAAUGCGAUAAGUAAUGUGAAUUGCAGAAUUCAGUGAAUCAUCGAAUCUUUGAACGCACAUUGCGCCCGCCAGUAUUCUGGCGGGCAUGCCUGUCCGAGCGUCAUUUCAACCCUCGAACCCCUCCGGGGGGUCGGCGUUGGGGAUCGGCCCUUUACGGGGCCGGCCCCGAAAUACAGUGGCGGUCUCGCCGCAGCCUCUCCUGCGCAGUAGUUUGCACACUCGCAUCGGGAGCGCGGCGCGUCCAUUGCCGUAAAACACCCAACUUUCUGAAAUGUUGACCUCGGAUCAGGUAGGAAUACCCGCUGAACUUAAGCAUAUCAAUAAGCGGAGGA